rnacentral:rRNA from 1 species
UACGGAGGGUGCGAGCGUUGUCCGGAAUCAUUGGGCGUAAAGGGCGCGUAGGUGGCGGGACAAGCGUGCGGUGAAAGCCUGGGGCUCAACCCCGGGUCGGCCGUGCGAACUGUUUUGCUUGAGCACUGUAGAGGCAGGCGGAAUUCCGGGUGUAGCGGUGGAAUGCGUAGAGAUCAGGAGGAACACCGGUGGCGAAGGCGGAUCUCUGGGCCAUUACUGACGCUGAGGAGCGAAAGCGUGGGGAGCGAACAGG